AAGAUUAUAAACAUACAAAUGUAAUAAAAAUUAUUGUUCGCGAAUAUUCAAUUUGGAAUGCGAUUUUGUUAAUAAAAAAAAUACUUAUAACUUAUGCAAAACCCAAGAGAGGCAUUUAUAUUUAUUUCUUUUGCGUUCAUUUUCAAAUUCGCCGUGCAUAUAUUUUUGUGCAUGGCGCUUGAGAGGGCAUCACGUGACUAAAAACGACCAACCAACGACCUCGCUUCGGCCAUCUUGGCAUCUUCAUCUUGGCGACCUUGCCUUGCCGUGGAUUGUUUUUAGUUGUUUGUAUUAUUUGUGCUUUUUAAGAAUAUUUUUUUAAUUCGGAUACUUUUAUAAUAGCUUUAAUAGUAUUAUUAACAUAGUGCAUAAAAUGGUGUCCUGUUUUUAACGCAGUUGGAGUAGCAGAAACAAAUGUAGAUAAAAAAAUCUGCAGGAAUAACGUUUCAAUUAUGACAGAAGCUCAAAACAAAUGACUGUGAAUGAAAAGCCCUAUUAAAAGCUUUCCAGAAGAUCCUGCGAAGAAGACAUGAAGUAUAGAUCAGAUUUGUUAAUAGAGGAGUAUGUUCAAAACACUUUUUAGAAAAAGAUAUUGACAGAACUUCACUUUCAUCUGUUCGUUUGAGAGACUGUGCUGUUCCAAUAGCUUAUGUCACACAGAAUCAGCUGAGAGAAGUGGUCUACAAAAAACCAGAAAGGAAACGGAAUAUGUGGCUACGAAAAGCAAAAGAAAGGUUUACAAAGCAAAUGUGACACAUUUUUUUAUAAUAUUUAGGAAUGUCAGCAAAUUACAUUAAAAAAUGUAUGUAAAGAUUUUUUGCAAUAAAAAUGUUUAUAUUUAUCAAGGAUGUAUUAUUUGGUAUGGCCAUAUAUCGUCAGUGAUGUGACAGUACCUCCUAUCUGUUUUUUUCAAGAGAUUUGUAAGAUAGACUAAAAACUUGUUUCGGCCACCUCCUGUUUUCAUAUAUUUUUUGACUUGUUUUGCAGUAAAUUCAACUAUCUAUUUACUACAAAAAAAGUCAGAAUACGUACGAAACCAGAAAGUGACCUUAAAAAAUGUUUUUCGUUUCCUGCAAACCUCAUGAAAAAACAUAUAGGAGGUAUUAGUCACAUUACUGACGAUAUAUUUCAGUGAAUGUCUAAAAAAUAUACUGUGAAUGUUCAAAGAACGUUCGUAGUCAUUCAUGGAAUGUUCUAACAAGACAUUCAGUCUAAAAAUAUACUGUGAAUGUCCAAAGAACAAUCAUGGAAUGUUCCAACAAGACAUUCAGUCUAAAAAAUAGACUC